rnacentral:rRNA from 1 species
UAGCGUAUAUUAAAGUUGUUGCGGUAAAAAGCUCGUAGUUGGAUUUCUGUUGAGGGCGACCGGUCCAUACAAUGUAUGUGUACCUGGCUCGGCCUCGGCAUCCUCUCGAAGCACGUUACUGCGCUUGAUUGCGUGGUGCGGAUUUCGGGACCUUUACUUUGAGGAAAUUAGAGUGUUCACGGCAGGCUAUCGCCCGAAUACAUUAGCAUGGAAUAAUACUAUAGGAUCUUUGUCCUAUUUUGUUGGUUUCUAGGAUUGAGAUAAUGAUUAAUAGGGACAAUUGGGGGCAUUCGUAUCAACGCGUCAGAGGUGGAAUUCUUGGAUUGCGUUGCGACGAACUACUGCGAAAGCAUUUGCCAAGGAUGUUUUCAUUGAUCAAGAACGAAAGUAAGGGGAUCGAAGACGAUUAGAUACCGUCGUAGUCUUUACCAUAAACUAUGCCAACUAGAGAUGGGACAUCGUUCAUUUACGACUUGUUCCGCACCUUAUGAGAUAUCAAAGUCUUUGGGUUCCGGGGGGAGUACGCUCGCAAGUGUGAAACUUAAAGGAA